CAGGCAUGAGCCACUCUGUGGCCUCAACUGGCUAUUACCGCUGCCUAGAAAGCUUUUUCCCGGGACAUCUCCACAACUAAUCUCUCAUCUCCUUCACGGACUCAGUGGGG